rnacentral:lncRNA from 1 species
UUUGAACCAACUUUUGACAGAAAUGGAAAAGUCUCAAGAAUCUCAACCCAUACAUUAGAAUCUCCUCUCAAAAUUCUCAUCAAGAAUCGGAAACAUUUUGCUUUACUGACAUUAUCAACUCUAAGGCUAAAGUAAUAUGCAAUCACAUCAAAAACUAAUGCACAACCUUAUUUAAUUACUUCAAUUAUCAGAAAAUCAUAAACAAAUUUCACACAAUCACAUUCCAUUAAGCUUUUAAACGCAUUCCAUAAAAGAUACAAAUAAAUAAAUAAAUAAAACAGAAAAAGUACAUAAUCACCGUAGAGAAGAAGACUUGGAUAGAGCGAGAGAAGUUAUACCUCAUCUCCUGCAAAACAAAAUCGAACUCUUUCUUAACCUUUCUCAGCAAUCAAACACGCAGGAGAGUUGAGAAAUUACGGAAAAGCCCUUACCGAGAACGACGUUGACGCCGAGGUUGUACCGCUGUAUGAGCCACGAGACGCCUUCGACUUGGUGCGGCUUCAGCGUCGCCGUCACACCGAGCUCUUCAAUCUACAAAUUUGAUCGAAGCCUGGUACCCUUUCAAUUUCUGCAAUAGAAUCACAUUCAAAAACCAAAGAACUAACCAAAAUCAACUGCAAUUUACCGAAAAUAGACUGCAAACAUAUACCAAAAAGCAAAAAAUACCUAACGAGCCACAAGAUUUCGAUUGCUAAACAGAAAUCGAGAGAGCACGUGAGAUUGGAAGAGGUAUUUAGGGCUGAGGUGUUAGGUUUUUUGAUUUGGGUAUUACGGAUUUUGGGCCAAGAUUGGUUUCAUAGGAAAUGAAGCAGGAUGUGAGAGGCUGAGAGAGAAGGAUGACGAAACGGAUGGCGAAGAUGGAUGGCGACGGUACGAUUCAGAUUUGGUUGUUUGGUGUUUGAAGGACGCUGGAAGAGAAAGGCAAAUAGAGAACCCAAUCCUCAGUUCGAAAGAAAAAAAAAAAAAAAAAAUUAG